rfam:Leptolyngbya sp. Heron Island J, whole genome shotgun sequence.
GCUCCCGUGAGGGAGGGUCUGAAGGAAGCCAGCGGCAAACCUGCGAGCCGACGAACAGAAACGUCAUAGCCUGAAUAAUUCAUCAGCAUCUCAGUAGAGUGCAAAAUCACACUCACUUCGGGCUCAUGGCCACUUUUGAUACUGGU